rnacentral:rRNA from 1 species
AACGAACGCUGGCGGCAUGCCUAACACAUGCAAGUCGAACGAGACCUUCGGGUCUAUUGGCGCACGGGUUCGUCACACGUGGGAAUCUGCCCUUUGCUUCGGAAUAACAGUUAGAAAUGACUGCUAAUACCGGAUGAUAUCUAAAGACCAAAGAUUUAUCGGCAAAGGAUGAGCCCGCGUAGGAUUAGGUAGUUGGUGGGGUAAAGGCCUACCAAGCCGACGAUCCUUAGCUGGUCUGAGAGGAUGAUCAGCCACACUGGGACUGAGACACGGCCCAGACUCCUACGGGAGGCAGCAGUGGGGAAUAGUGGACAAUGGGCGAAAGCCUGAUCCAGCAAUGCCGCGUGAGUGAUGAAGGCCUUAGGGUUGUAAAGCUCUUUUAACAGGGAUGAUAAUGACAGUACCUGGAGAAUAAGCCCCGGCUAACUACGUG